rnacentral:RNase_P_RNA from 1 species
GCGGAUGGCUGGAUGACCGCUUUCGGCGGGGCUUGCCCCACCUGAGAGGAAAGUCCGGACUCCCUGAAGCAACGGUGCCGGGUAACGCCCGGGCGGGGCAACCCGACGGAAAGCGCCACAGAAAACAAACCGCCUUCGCCAGCCGCGUGCGGCAAACGGGGGUAAGGAUGAAACGGUGGAGUAAGAGCCCACCGCGGGGCUGGCAACAGCACCGGCAUGGCAAGCCCCACCGGGAGCAAUGCCAAAUAGGAACCGCGUGGCGCCCCGGCGUCGGGGUCGCUUCAACCCCAGCAGGUUCGGGUUGGCAGCUAGAGUGUGUCGGCAACGGCACGCCCAGAGGAAUGGUCAUCCACGGGGGACACCCCGGGACAGAAUCCGGCUUACAGGCUAUCCGCGCGA